UACCUGCAGCUCGAGUGGUAACCGCUAUUAUUGGGCCUAAAGCGUCCGUAGCCGGUUUGGUAAAUAUCUGGGUAAAUCGUGAGGCUUAACUUCACGAAUUUCGGAUAGACUGCCAGACUUGGGAUCGGGGGAGGUCAGAGGUACUCCAGGGGUAGCGGUGAAAUGUUGUAAUCCUUGGAGGACCACCGGUAGCGAAGGCGUCUGACUAGAACGAGUCCGACGGUGAGGGACGAAGCCCUGGGGCGCAAACCGGGAUUAGAUACCCGGGUAGUCCAGGGUGUAAACUAUGUGGGCUUUGUAUUGGAGGUCCCACGUGGGCGUCCAGUGCAGAAGAGAAGUUGUUAAGCCCACCGCCUGGGAAGUACGGUCGCAAGGCUGAAACUUAAAGGAAUUGGCGGGGGAGCACAGCAACGGGAGGAGCGUGCGGUUU
rnacentral:rRNA from 1 species